AAUUGUAAUCUUCAUCUAAAGUUUCAACCAAUGGACCGUGUCAUUUCCAUAUCAAAGACAUGAAUGACCCAAUGAUGUCUUGCAUUACAAGGCAGGAAUUCACGGAUCGUGCACUCUGUCUUUGGGAGAGGAUGAUGACCAACCUCCUUGUGGGGUAAAACACCGUAUGUUCCAAUACCAAACUCUAACCACUGUAAACCCGAAUAGUCCAAUGAGCUCUAAAGUUUUAUAAUCACUGAACUCAAAAGUAACAAACAAGUUGAGUCAGCUUAAAACCUAUAAGCCGAUUCAACUUUUGCCACAGUUAUAUCUUUAUUGGACUAAAACAUUUUGAGUAAAUGAUACCUUGGAGUCAAAACUUAUGAGUAAUGAGACGUGAUGACGUCAUAACGUGCGCCCAUGAACGUGAACUCAGCCACAGAAGUCUUCAAGAUGGCGGAGGUCUGAUGCGAGCGGCAGCUGGCCCAAGUUGAUAACACACAUACGUCUAGUGAACCGGCGGUGCGUUUGAAAAAUAAGAGCGGAGAUGUGAGCUGAGUUUCAUCGCAUCACAAAUGUCAACCUGCGAAAACAGUUUUAUUUUGACCUGGACAGACAGACGCAGAGGAUGCUGAUCUUUUUGAGACAGAAGGCAGCACGAACCGGAAGGCUCUAUGCGACUUUCUGCACCUCUAUGAUAAACAGCAAGAGCAGACUGCUGAUGUCAAACGUACUCCUGUCCUGUACUGGCUUCCCAUAUACAAACGUGAGGAGGACCCACAAUUCUUCAAAUUUUGGAAUAUUAAAGAGUCACCAGAGGCAGACAUCAGCAGCACCUCUGUUGGCAUUCUGACCGUCAACAACAACAACACAAGUUCAGUUCAUUUCUGUCCGCUCAGUACAGCAGUUGUGGUGGAAGAUGAGCUUGUGGUAGGCGACAUUCCCAAAUGGGUAUUUUUUUGAGCGCUAAUGUUUGUAGGGAAAGGGCAGCCUAAGAAAAUGCAGUUUUAUGUGGGAAAAGUGUAAAAAAAAAAGGCUGAUAAACAAUUUUUGCUUUUCUUGAAAUGUAAGAAUGUUCUUUUUUAUCAAGUUGUAUAAGGAAAUGGUGUAAGAAAGAUUAGAGCUUAUUUUCUGCUUUUCUUGAAGACUGAUUUUUUUUUUUAUGGCUUGUGCACUUUUUCUUAACACAAAUUGUGCAAUGUUUUACAUUUUCUAGUACCACAAGUUGUUCAAAUGUACUUGUGUAAGGUGGUUUAAAAAUAAACUUGCAAUU